UUCUUUUUAUUUUUCUUCUUCUUAUUUUUCUUCUUUCUUUCUCCUUUCUUCUUCUUCUUCUUCUCUCUCUACCUGACCAUGACUCUUCUCUCUCUUCUUCUCCUUUUUCUUUCGAUCAUGCGCCACCGUGUAGCACAACCUGCAUAACCCUCCUCCUCUCUCUUUCUCUGUCGACUGCGGUGUCGCGCAAUGCGGUGAGACCCACCUCCUCUCUAUAUCUCCAUCGUCGUUCCCUCUCUUGGCUAUGACCUUCCUCUCUCACUCCUCUCUCUCUCUUCUCUCUUCGUUUUUUUUUCUUUCUUUUUCUGUUACUUAAUUAUACAUACAUAUAUAUUAUAUAUAUGGUCAAGUGUUUUCUUCUUCUGCUUCC
rnacentral:lncRNA from 1 species